AACAAACGCUGGCGGCGUGCCUAAUACAUGCAAGUCGAACGGGGAAAGCUUUCGGGUGAGUACUAGUGGCGCACGGGUGAGGAACGCGUGGAUAAUCUGCCUUAGAGUGGGGGAUAACUAGUCGAAAGAUUAGCUAAUACCGCAUAAGACCACAGGAGCUGCGGCUCAAGGGGUCAAAGGUUUUUCGCUCUAAGAUGAGUCCGCGUAAGAUUAGCUAGUUGGUGAGGUAACGGCUCACCAAGGCGACGAUCUUUAACUGGUCUGAGAGGAUGAUCAGGCACGCUGGAACUGAGACACGGUCCAGACUCCUACGGGAGGCAGCAGUAGGGAAUAUUGCACAAUGGAGGAAACUCUGAUGCAGCGACGCCGCGUGAGUGAUGAAGGCCUUCGGUUCGUAAAGCUCUGUCGCAGGGGAAUAACACAAUGAAUGUACCCUGUAAGAAAGGAUCGGCUAACUUCGUGCCAGCAGCCGCCGCGGUAA
rnacentral:rRNA from 1 species